UGAUCAGCCCUCAUGUUGUUCUUAUUAUCAGCAUCUUGGGAGUGUGCUUGAUCUAAUUAAAUCCUUUAGUCUCUAAAGGACCCAGCUGAGGUCUGCAUCCCAUCAGCAGCUGCUGGCAGCAUUGCUUUCAGGUUGGGGCAGGCAGAGAAACAUGAAGUUUCACAUCAUUGCUUUUAUCCAGGGAGUUGCUUUUGUUAAUUAAUCCCCCCAAAAAGAAAGAGAACAUGAUAUCAGCUGGGACCCGGCUACGUCUGACACCUUCAUCCUCCUGCUGCUUGGCCAACCUGUCUGGACGUAAAACAUCAAGGGGAUGCAUCUCCUUGAGUUUUGUCAGUGCCCAGGAAGACACCUCAAUAGCAGUGAUUUGCCUAUGGCUUUCAAAGUGGUGCUCUAAAAUUUCUAUCAGAGUUUCUGUCUAUGCUUCACGUGCAAGGAAAUGGGAACACUGAAUGAGAGGAGCUUCUUCUGGUGCCUUAUCUAAAAACAUUGCUGCCCUUCUGACCCCAGCUGCAGACUUUAGGGGCUGAGAUGCAAGUGACCCUACUAUUGUCCGUUCUUAUGUGUUACUUUGUUGCCACUAUUUUUUUGCUUCCCAUUUGGACUGUUGUCUGCUGCUUUUCCAAGCUGUUCAGCAAGAUGCAACACAAAGACACAGAGAGAUGUAUUGUUAUUAUUGGUGGUUGUUGUUCCCAAGCCUUUAUUGAUUUUUAUGAAAGAAAUAAUAACAAUGUGCAGGAGGUGUCCAGCUAACAAAAGAGGUCCUGCGGUACUCAUCUUGAAUUAAAUAUAUAGAAGCAGAAUCCAACUGGGAUAUUGACAGGCAAAUACAAAGUGUUGCAAUUCAGCGUAGUGCUGGAGUGAAAGUGGGACUUUGCCUUGCUGCAGCCUGCCUUGGAGAGGAGAGACAGCAUUGUCCUUCCCCACUGCUUGGCAAGAAACAUGUCCAGAAUGCCUUCACCCAAGGCCAGAAAUAAGCAUGUCAUCAGCAGGAGGGAGCUGGCACCCAACACCAAUUUUGCCAUAAUGUGUGGGGAACUGAGAUGCCUCCAUUGAAGAAGGAGUGUGAUUUGAGCCCAUCCCUUUGUAACGCGAAAUGGUAACUCAGUCAAUCUAUCAUAUCUGGACUUGAUGGGUGGGUGAGCAGAUUAUUUCUCCAGACCGUUUCUGAUGGUUGUUUUUUGCUUGACUGGGUUUUUGGUGUACAUCAGCUCAGCACAAAGGAAGGAAAGCAAAGCCCGUUCUUUGUGGUUGGUUUUCUUACCAGUUUCGCUCACCAACUCAAUGGGUUGGUAUGCCCCAAGUAGGAAAGGAUGUGAGGAAUGCUCUGACAUGGCAACCACCCUGAACUUCAUCCCCUUAACUCAUUUCUAACAGGGAUCUGCAAAGGUUCAUUCUCUCUUCUCUACCCUUAAUUUUGCAUUUUCUCCUGUGUGGAUGUAGCCUCCAAUAUAGAGUAUUUGCUGUGGGAGCGGGAGUGUCCUGAAAUGACACAAAAUGUCACUGUGUUCCUCAUGGGUCUGUUGCCUGAUUCUGUCUGUAGCAAGACUCACACAAGGUUCAGGUAAUCCUGCAAUGUCAGAAUUUGUCUCUCCCUUGACUUUACAAGGAAUUCCUGAGCAUAAUAUUGAAUCACAACCAUAUCGCUGCUCUUAAAUCAUUUCCUCUAGCAAAACAUCACUCCACAGAGGAAGUCCUUUCAGUGGAGACAAAAAUGAAAGCAUUUAUCGGUUUGAAAAGAUCCCUCUGUGUGCCAGAAUCAGUGAGAGAGAACGGAAGUGUUAGUGCCUCUGGCGAUGCCGUCGCGAGGCUGUUUGUCAUCCCAGCACAAGAAGAAGCUGAGCACACACAAAUAUUAAACUAAUAUUUUUGGUGCUUGGUGAGUUUUGAUCGUCAGUUCCUGGUGCCUGAGGCAGCAAACGGGAAUGAGGUGCAGUAUCCUUAAGCUUUGUAUUCAUGGCUGAAUUGACACUCCUUUUAUAUUAGUAUAAAAGGAGUACAUAUAAGUAUGUAUGACUCUUAUUAUUGGUAUUUAUCUCUAGUGUGAGAGAGAUGCUAAUGAUAGCUGGUAGCAGUACCCACCCAAGACUGCGUAGUGAGAAAGUAGAAGAGCACAAUAAACCAGCUUUGGUCCACGAGAUGCUGCCUACACUGAAGAGAUGAUGUGGCAAUUUUUUCCUCAAAUGUGAAUGGAGAGACAGCUGAGGUCACAUGGGAAUCCUCAUCUUCCAGAUCUUCCCAUUUCAGUGCCAAAAUCCUUCUUACAGAGGUAUAGGACAGAAAAACCCACUGGAGAAACUGAAGCUGGUUAAUCCUCAGAAUGUCGAGGCUAGAGCUGAGACUUCUGCCCAACAUGGGAUGGAAGCCUGUCCUCCCUCUAGAUCUGCUCUCAAUUAGUGCCCUCAGACUUGACUUGGAGGAGGCAGGGCAUUUUUCUUGGAAGGAGGAAAAGGAAAAUAAAGGAGGCUGUCAACCCCGUGACCCUGCUGAACAGCCGAGACCACCCCUUGUGCUCCAAAUAGCCAUGCUGUUGGCUGAGGUGUACUUUGUGGAGAGUGUACCAAUUAUGUGGGCUUUUUCAGCAUCCGGGAGCAGUGUGAGCUGUUAUUUUCUUGAGAGAGUGAGGAAGAGGCUGAGUGGUACAGGAGGUUACAGAGAGUAUCUCAAGGAAACUGCAGUUAACCCAAAGUUAAAUUUAACUCCUUGAGAAUAUUGGGAGCCAAAGUUGAGUGUUGCAUACGGAGGGAGGACAUGAGAAUGGGCACCCGCCCAGCUCGAUGCAUGUGUCUCCAUGGAGGAAGCUUCUGCAAAGUCAAGCAAGUCCUCAAAGUACUUCAUAUGUGGAGCCUGGGACAGAGAUGAGCUGAAUGAUAAGGAGGAGAAAGGACGAGAAGUUCUGUCUCUCCCUCUCUUCUAGCCAUCUUUGAGGGUGACUCAUCCUCCCCAAAUUCCUGGCAGUUUCUCUCAGUGACCAGCAGCUCUAUCUUGCCUUGCUGACUCAUAACUGCUGGAAGCUUCUCUGGGUUCAGAGUAGGAAAAUGUAUUGUCUUGGCUUUGAUCUCACAUGAAGUUGUUUUAUGGGGGCAAGGAGCAGCCCAGUAGAGGGAGGGACAGUAGUAAGAAAAGUUGCAAGGAGGGUGAGAUAAAGGUGAAGGAAAAGGAGGUAAAAUUCAAGAAAGAAAAUGCAUAUUUGGAUUUUGAGUGACAGGGGAAAGUAUUUAGCUGAUCUGAAGCCAAACAAAUGAACAGCUUGAUGAAUGAUGCAAACCUAUGCACUGUGGUUGAUUUUUUUUUUUAUUGCAGCAGUGAUAUUAGUAAUAAAAUUAAUACCAGUAGUUAGCUAGGGCUAAUAACGGUACAGAUUGGAUUGGAUUAGAUUGAUAUUACUUCUAAUAAUCUGCUAUUGUUGCUAUUGCAUGGUAAGAAGAGAGAUACAGUGCCUUUUCAUUAAAACAAGGUCCCAGCACUUUUGUUCAAUCAUAGACACAGCCGGAGAUGACUAGUGUGUACCCCAGCAAUUAAAUCUGUCCUGAAGGCUCUUUCUAAAUGAAAAAAAAAGAGAAUCCAUUGCUUUCUUGAAGCUGUUUCUGGAAUAAUUAAAUGGGAUAACUCAAAGGUCAUAACACAAAUGCUUUCUCUGUCAUUGGGUGAGUUUGCUGUACUGACCUUGACUCUUGUUGACUUGUGCAUGCGUUCCCAAGCUACUAGCUCAGAGAAACCAGCUACGUGCUCAUAGCAGGUAGUGUCCAGGGGGCUGGGUAGGGGCAGUCCCUGCAUUGCGACAGUGAGGAGAGGGGACCUGGGAGGAUCUAGUUGAGUUUUCAGGGAAGAGCUGCCCUGCAGGCUCAGCUGGGGAGCAUACAAUGAGAGCUGCUGGUUUGGGGAGGCAGCUGUUGGAGCAGCAGGGCGGUUUCCUGCCCUGAGAAUAUUCAGGGACUGUGGAGAGUCCUGCUGAAUGCUCCCAUUGGAAAAUCAGUGCAAAAAAAACCACCAAACAACCCAAGUCAUGCUGCCACUCUUCAUGCUCCUAAAUGCCAGCAGCUUCAGCUUUGAAUCGUGCAAAAGCUACUGAAUGGACUCUGUGGUAAUUUUUGAAGUUCUGACAUAGAGUUUCCUGCUGGGACAUCCCCAGAGUCUUCUGGGCAGUCCUGCUGGGAGCCCCGCACAGAAGUGCUGCCUUUCAUGAGCUGGGCCAGGCUAAGGGUCACCAUGUCCCAGCCCAACAUGCCCAGCAGCUCACCUCAGCAACCUUCCCAGUCAGCUUAUGGCCCCAACCAGUGAGCAUUUGCAAAAACAUCAGCUAAGAGAAAACAGCAUCUUUAGAAGGAAAAGACUCACCGGAUUUUAUUGAAUUUGUUCCAAGCAGUUCUACAUUCAAUCACCCAGAAACUGUCUCCCUGCAGGCAACAAUAUCUCUUACUAACGAGUAUUUGCUGUUUGAAAUAGCCUGUCUUGUACUUCACAAGUUCUGCUCUGCACCUGCCCUGCGCCAGGGCUCCUUCCUGCCUCUCAGAAAGAAGGCUGGAGCUCUGUUUGCAUGUGGAUGUAGGAUUGUUGCAGACAGCCUUGUCUUGCACAACGCCUGCUGGCAGACAGAGUAGGUGAUGAUGCUGCUGCUGAACCACAGGUACUCCCCUUUCCACCUGUGCCCCAUGCAGCAUCUCCUCAAUGUGUGUCUUGCAUUCAUCUGCAAGAGUUCAUUAGCAGGCUAAUCUGGUGAGCAGAAAGAAAGGGGUGGGGGAAGGAAGUGCAGGGUGUUAAUAUCCCAAAGCAUCACCUGCCUUUGCCCAUCCUACCAAAGCUGGGUGCAGGCUGUUCAGAAAGCAUCUCCAUGGGCAUCCAGCCCUGAUUCUCCAGGAGGGGUAUAACCAACCCACAAUAUAAGGACAGGCAUCCCCUCCCUCACACCCACGUCUACUGCUUGGGGGCUGCCAAUUUGUAGCGCAUCCAGUCUCAAAAUAAAAAGGCAGAUGGUUGACAUCAGCAUCCAUUACUGUCCAAAAAGGCCACUGGGAGGAAGAAGGGAUUGGAGAGGGAAGGAGAAGAAGAGAGAAAGGAAGAAGGAGAAGCACCCUGCUGUGGUCCCCAGAAGUGGUAAGUGCAUACUGUGCCAGGCAGGCAUCACCUGAGCAAGUUGCUGAAGCUUCCCUAUGAUGCUGGAACAUAAAAUUGUCCUUUUCUCCCCCACCUGGUUCCCUGCUGGUCUCCUUGGGUCUUUCCUCUCCCCAAAAAUCCCCUCUAGCAUGGACAGGGCUCUGUGCGCUCUUCAAAGUCUAACCAUACGUGUUUUCUAUGCUUCUGGAGUCUAAUUGAGAUGAAUUAUCAGUCCAGAACCUUAUCUCACAUAAACAACUCCACAAAAGCUGCUGGAUUUUAGAACACUGGGAAGUGGGAGCUGUUCCUUGUUGGGCUUCCUGGGGAAAGCAUGGCCAGCAUCUUCCUCCCAGUGGAGCACCAGUUCUGCAGUGAGCUUUGUUGAUGCUGCUCUUACCAUCCUGUGUAUCAGAUUUGCCCGUGCCUUCCCUUCUCUGCAGAUCUUAAUACCAUGCUCCUCACCCAGCUGUGUCCCAUCUGUAGAGCACUCCUUAGGAUGGGUGGGAGGUGCUGUUCCCAUAUGGCCUCUUUGGUAUGGGUCUGGUGCCACAAGUGCAUGCUGGAUAUGGCCACUGCUGGGACAGAGUCCCUCUAGCACCCAGAUGCCCUAACAGAGAGUGCUGGGAAGGACUGAGGAGCUCUGCAGACGGAGUGACAGAUGGAGAGAGGUGCAGCCUCAGAGCUCUGCAUGCUGUCUCUUCUUAAAAUGCCAGCAAUGUCUUGUCGUUAUCAGCUAAUGCCCUCUAAUGGGUCCAUUAAACAGCUCUGGCUUCACUCAUGAUCAGACAGUACUACCUUUGCUUGCUGCUAAGGUUCUAUCCUCUGCCCCUGUGUGUGCCUGCACCGAACCCUCUGCUAACUCUCUGGAGGAAUAGGGAUUGGGGUGAUCCAAAAUCAACUGCUUUUCACCCAGUACAUGGCUGGCUUUCUUGGGAGUUUGGGGAAAUUUUUAAUAGUGCUGAUUAUUGAUAAUAUGUCACUGGGAAUUUCCUUAGCUCUGCAUAGCACAGGUGCUAAAAAUACAAGGUCCUGCUCUCCAGGGUGUUGGGGAAUGUGGAGGGAAAGCAAAAUCUGAGGGGUGAUGAAGGCAUGGAGAAAUGCUGGGCAUGGCCAACCAAGAACGGGGUUAGCAUGGGGCCAGGUGAGGCCAACCUUUAAGAGGUUAGAAUGGGACUGGCUGAGGCUCCUGGAGGGCCCAAAGAAGAGAAGGGAGAAAAACUGGGGCUUGCUUCAAGCUCAGGGUCUGUGCUAAAGGGGGGAUGGAACAUCAUGAUUUUGAGAUUUACCACUGGAACUUAGGGAUAAUUCAUCCUCUUUCUCCCCGGAGAUGGGCAGAGCAAAGCCCUGUGGGAUCAGUGGUAGAUGCUGAUUUUGGGUGGUCACAGGAAAGCUAAAGGCAGGCGUGGAUGAGAGAUGGUGAUACGCGUGCACCAGUCCAUGGGAUAUUUGUAGUGAGAGACAAUGACGGAAAGAGCCCUUGAGGCAAUACAGCCCACUCUGCAAACUUAGCAAGCGCUUUGCUUUGCCGUGUGAUGCGUCAGCUUCAUUCCUAAUGACCUGCACCGUGGCAGGCGGGCCUUCGUCUUCUCCUUCUCGUGCUGGGCUGUGUGCUUCUGGAGGUUUGUUUCCUUUAUGCUGUGCUGCUGUAAUGUCACGCCAAGCUGCUAAGCCCAGCUGCAGUUCUGACAGAUGAUGUACCAGUUCCCUCUGCUUUAAAGCUGACAUUUUCAUGAGCACUAAACGUGCACGCUUACACAUUCUGAAAGGGAAAAGAAGCCUCUGCUCUCUUCUUUUUCCAAUUUUUUUUUUUUUUUUUCCUUAGCUUCAUUUUGGAGUGGAUGAAAGAUGCUAGGUUAAUAACCCUGGAAACUGGAGCCCCCUAUCUGCUGAAUGUGUGUGGUGGGGAAUGCCCACCAGCAGCAUCUCUCUUCAUGGUGGGGAUAGAUGGGGAGCAAUGAUCUCGUAGAGCAAUGUGCUUGGAGUCCAGUAAUAUGGAUGGGGAAAAAAAGAGGAAGAAAUCUGAAAGUGUCAUCCCUUGCUGAUGUUCUACGUGCUUUUAGGCUGUGGUGGAAGAAGCCAAGGUGAAUUUUUCCUUCUAUGUUAAUGGAGUAGGAUCAAGAUAUUUAUCUUAGAGGAAAUGCCAGGAAAAGGUCGGUUGUGUUUAGAAAAGGCAAAAAGGUACAAGAAAUAGUGCUUCCUGCUGCCUUUGCUCCUGCCCUGAGGCGAGGGAGCAGAUCUGGCGACCUUCAUGCUCAGCAUCCCCGUGCAUCCUCUCCUCUGCUGGAACUGAUGCAAUCCCAGGCUCCACACAGGAUCUUGUGCUGGAGGAGGCUGUGGGGUCUGUGGAUAUCAGGUCAGUCCAAUAUUAGACUGGGAGCAUUAUGGAUCCUUUUUGUUGUAUUUUAGUACUUGUAGGAAAUACGUUUGUUUGGGAGAUCUGAACAGAAGUGGCAACAGAUGCACCGGGUAAUAAAAACGUGAAAGCCACUGUUGUGCUUUCAGGAGGGGAACAGAGAGGAGAAAAACUGCAGGCAGCAGAGAUAAACACAGGUGGAAUUACGGAAAGGCGACAUUUAAUAGUUCACUAAUCACGUUCUCAUUUCCAAGGUACGAUACCCCUAGCACUGAGUUAAAUAUAGCAUCUCUUUACUUGGUUCCUCUUUAGAAAACACAACAGCCACCUGCCACCAGCAACAAAUUUUGCUGGCUGAGCACGUGGGUUGGGACCAGUCCUGCUGCUCUGGAUCCACCCCUAAACCAUCACCAGUGAACCUGCUGCUUUUUCUGCCCCGUUGGGGCUCAGUGUGUUCCAAUGGUUUGCGUGAGAUGCGAUGAAGGAGAGGAACAAUGCUUUAACGCGAAUACAUUGGGCAGCAUUUGCAACAUUUGCCCAGAGGACGUUUGUUCCCAGUACUGCUAUUUUGGUGGUGGCUCUUCACGAUGAUUAAUUUAAAGUGCCAGCAUCGGGAAUCAUGGGAAUGUACGAGAAACUCAGUUUUUCUUUUAAAAUAGAAGUAAGUUUUUCUUUUAAAAUAGAAGUAAGUUUUCUUCCUGAUGCUGCAAAGAAACUAUGGAAAGGUCAUCCUUAAAGGCAGGCAGACCCCCCUUUGCUUCUCAUCCAAUCUUCAACUUUCCAUUUGCUUUCUUAAUUUGGAGAAACCCUCUCGUUGGGAGUGCACCAUAUGGCUGCAGAUCCCCGGAAUGGAAAAGCCGAUGUCGUCCAACCUUUUGCAGCAGAUGUUCCCAUUCCCCACAGCCAGGGUGCUCCGUACCAUCACGCAUAUCACACUGAGGGCUUACUUUCCCCUUGCUCCAGGAGCCAUCCUUUGGGUCUCACCUCCCAUGGGCUUAUCAUUGCCAAAUGUUCUGCAUCACCUUGUUUUAACCAGUGGGUGAGAUACUCUCCAGUUUAUUGUUUUGACACGAGGGUUGCAUGCCUCUUGUCAGUCACGCAUCAUCUUGUGUGCACCCAUGUGUGGCAAGCUCUUGUGCAGACACCCAGCCUGCAGUGAGCGAAGGGCUCACCAUUAUUUACCAGGAAAGGAAAAAAAAAUACGGCAUUUAUAUAAAACAUAUUAAUAAUUUCGUCCUUUCCCUCCACAUUUCCCAAAUUGAUUUUUGAACUGCUAGCAGUUGUAUUGCAAUAAAUAUAGUUGAAAUCCAUUGCACAUAAUGGUUUAUAAAUUGUGAGUCAUAAUUCAGCGGGAGCUCUGGGUUUGGGUUGCUGGCCACCGCCGGUGCGCUCCCGCGAGCGCUUUCCUUCCUCCAGCCUCUGAGCCUGCACAACUCUCCAGUGGAGUAAUAAAUUGGGAAUAAUAGAAGCUCGGCUAACUACAUUUCACUUGUCAGUUUGAAGAUUCCAUGCUGUGUGUUAAGUUCUUGCAAAUAGUCUGUGUUAAAAAAAAUAAACUAACCCGCAGCUCCCUGCUACCAGCUCCAAUUUGCCACUCCCAACAACAGCAUCUCACUAUCACCACCUGAAAACAGCUCUGCGUGGCACUAGGAAUGAGGUGCUGGUCCCACCUCCUCAAAGUUUGAUGUUGGAGAAGAUGAUGUAUUUAGGCAGAAGGAGCAUCUGCCAGCAGGGCAGAAGAUGCAGAAAGUCUCAGGACACAUUUGCGCAUCCAAGAAGGGUGAGUACCCUGCAGCCCAGGGGUAAGCAUCCCUCCUCUAUCCCUCCCUCCCCAAAAUGCAGCAGCAAAGCCACAGAAUAAUCCCCCUUGGGCAAAGAGAGAGAGCCAGAGCUCAGGGCUGUGGCCAGGCAGGAAAAUCCAUAUCUGCUACAGAUUUAUUAUCUGUUGCGCAAGAUGCAGCACAGAUAUUUUUAAAACGUGGGCCCAUUAAACUCUCCAAGUGGCUGGCUCACCUGCUAUUUUAACAAUGCGUUGUGACACCAGCUCUUUUAUGGGUAUUCCUCCUGGACUUGUUAACUCUAAGCUGUCGCAUCCCAUUUUCAGGGAGGAAAAUUCCAUAGAGGUGACCAUGCUGGUCACACUGAAGUGGCUUAAUGAGUUUUUAUGGGUACACAAGUCCAGAAAUUUGGAGUGGUAAAAUGGAUAGCUUAGGAAUGGUGGAGGGCAAUUGCUAUUCAUCUCCAUGAAUGAGUGGCUGGAGGAGUCCUCCAGGAUGGAGCACGACACAUUUCAGCAAAUAGAACCCAAAUGAGCCAGGUUUGGAGGUAUGACAGCAUUUAACCCUUUGCAGUGCCUGUAUGGAGGUGGUGCAGAGGUUGGAGUGGAUACAGGCUUUGGGACAAGAGCAUGCUGCCUAAAAGAAGCAUCUCAGAGCCCAUAUGGAAUCAACUGAGCACUGAGGGAUGGCUAAAGCAGCUCCUAUAGAAUGGCCAUGAGGGUGAGUGCACAGUGCAGGUGACUUGUCUACACAUUCCCGGAGUUGUAUUGAGAAUGAUAUAAAAUGGAGGGCUUGGUGCAAGGGUGAAUUCCUCUAUUGGAUCUGAAAGGCUCACAUUGCCACUGAUGAUGGCAAGGAUUCUGUCUUCCUAUGUUAUUUUCAUGCUAAGGUCCUGGCCAGCAGAGCCGUGCAAGCACCUUCUAGUUUUCACUUUUAGGAAGGAAAAAGGAAAUCUUGGGCCAAAUUCCUAGCAGAGCAUCCUGCUCUCUCACUACCUCACUCCCUUCUUUAUGUUACAACAGCAGCAGAGAUUUGCCUGGAAAAACUGCAGAAGUAGCCAAGAAGAAUAAACACAACUGCCUGGCAGAGAUAAUCAGUUGUUAAAACACUCCUACUGCGCUAAAAAGUAAUUAAAUGAA